rnacentral:siRNA from 1 species
UAGUAACUGUGGUGUCUAGUUCCA